UAAUCCAUAAUCUGUUUUUUCAAAUUGAUUUUUGUCAAACAAUUAGGAAAGAAACACCGUAUAUAUAGAAUUAUUAGAUUCGUCUCACAAUCUGGUCAUCCUCCAUUGCUCUGCAACAUUGCCUGCCUAGGCAUGGAUGCGGUUCAUUCUACAUGUCCUAAUGCAAUUCAGAUUGCAGACGGGGUAAUAACCUAGCAGCGCAGCAGCAGACACUAUUGCUGAAGCUUCCUUCAUUGUAGCCGAGCUUGCCGCACCAGUCUCCGCAUGUCUCUCCAUCUCCAAGGCUCUUGGUGCACGGCGGCGGUGCGUCGUUCGCCGUCGUUUCCUGCGCAUACCCUGCAAAGAUACAUGCCCACGUAACUAUUUGAACCCGAUCCGAACACAAGGAAAAACAAUGGGCAGAUCGAUCAGGGGAUCGAGAAGGAAAGAAAGAUUAAAGGCAGAGGCUCGGCAUGUCUAGAUAAUGAUCAUCACCUGUGGAGAUGAGGAGCGCUGCGAUGGUGGCGAUGGCGAGGAGGACCGCCUUGCAGGUGGUUGUGGAAUGAAACUUGGCCGCCAUCGUCUCGACCUCCGGUGGCUUUGUUCCAAUGGUGUCUCAGCACAUUGCAGCCGUAUGGUUUAUAUCGA
rnacentral:lncRNA from 1 species